UACGAAGGGAGCUAGCGUUGUUCGGAAUCACUGGGCGUAAAGCGCACGUAGGCGGAUGUGUCAGUCAGGGGUGAAAUCCCGGAGCUCAACUUCGGAACUGCCUUUGAUACAGCACGUCUUGAGUCCGAUAGAGGUGGGUGGAAUUCCUAGUGUAGAGGUGAAAUUCGUAGAUAUUAGGAAGAACACCGGUGGCGAAGGCGGCGCUCUGGACCGGGACUGACGCUGAGGCGCGAAAGCGUGGGGAGCAAACAGG
rnacentral:rRNA from 1 species